GAUGGAGUCUGGUUACUGUAGAAGUCCUACUAUUGGGGAAGCUCGAACAUUGACGAAGUUCGGAAGAAGUUCGGAGUAAAGUUGCUCGUGGCAAGAAGAAGUCUAGAAGAGAUUCAGAGGGUAGCCGAUCAUUGUAGAAAGUCGGCUGAUAAUGAAGCCUGAAGAGCAUUUAAAACAGUCUGGUAGAUGAAUGGGGGAGCUCAUUAUUGGAGAAGUUCGGAUGGUAUUAUGGAAGCUCGAACAGCCGGGGGAGUUCAGAAAGACACUGCAUAAGGUCGGA
rnacentral:lncRNA from 1 species